AAAAACGUUGGGUUAUUUACUAUUGCUCUGGACUAAGGUAUAUUAUACCCACAUGUCAGGGAUGGAUAGACUUUGAGCUCUAAAGGGCAUGGGUCUCAACAGAUAAUCGCAUAUUGCAAGACAAAGAAGAGAGCCUAGGAUCUUACAGAUAUUUCUUCUGAAGACAGAAACUCAUACCGGUUUGGAGCAACU